GAUGAACGCUGGCGGCGUGCCUAAUACAUGCAAGUCGAGCGAACGGACGAGAAGCUUGCUUCUCUGAUGUUAGCGGCGGACGGGUGAGUAACACGUGGAUAACCUACCUAUAAGACUGGGAUAACUUCGGGAAACCGGAGCUAAUACCGGAUAAUAUUUUGAACCGCAUGGUUCAAAAGUGAAAGACGGUCUUGCUGUCACUUAUAGAUGGAUCCGCGCUGCAUUAGCUAGUUGGUAAGGUAACGGCUUACCAAGGCAACGAUGCAUAGCCGACCUGAGAGGGGGGGCGGCCCACCGGGAAAGGGGAACAGGGCCCGGACCCUAAGGGAGGCCACAGUAGGGAAAUUUUCCCAAUUGGGGGAAACCCUAAGGAGCAAACGCCAGUUAGGUAUAAAGGGUUUGCGAUCGGAAAAACCUGUUUUUAGGGAAAAACAUAUUUUUAAGUUAAUGUGGACAUCUUGACGGUAACCAAUAAAAAAGCCACGGCUAACUACGUG
rnacentral:rRNA from 1 species